rnacentral:rRNA from 1 species
GAUGAACGCUGGCGGCGUGCUUAACACAUGCAAGUCGAACGGAAAGGCCAGUGCUUGCACUGGUACUCGAGUGGCGAACGGGUGAGUAACACGUGGGUGAUCUGCCCUGCACUUCGGGAUAAGCCUGGGAAACUGGGUCUAAUACCGGAUAGGACAAUGGUUUGGAUGCCGUUGUGGAAAGUUUUUUCGGUGUGGGAUGAGCUCGCGGCCUAUCAGCUUGUUGGUGGGGUACUGGCCUACCAAGGCGUCGACGGGUAGCCGGCCUGAGAGGGUGUACGGCCACAUUGGGACGGAGAUACGGCCCAGACUCCGACGGGAGGCAGCAGUGGGGAAUAUUGCACAAUGGGCGCAAGCCUGAUGCAGCGACGCCGCGUGGGGGAUGACGGCCUUCGGGUUGUAAACUCCUUUCGCUAGGGACGAAGCGUAUUUGUGACGGUACCUGGAGAAGAAGCACCGGCUAACUACGUG